UAUACUGGUGGUGGUGGAGAGUAGACGGGAGGUGGAUAGUAUACUUUCUUUGGUGGUGGUGGAGAGUAGACGGGAGGAGGGUAGUAUACCUUCUUCGGUGGUGGUGGAGAGUAGACGGGUGGUGGGUAGUAUACCUUCUUCGGUGGUGGUGGAGAGUAGACGGGUGGUGGGUAGUAUACCUUCUUCGGUGGUGGUGGAGAGUAGACGGGUGGUGGGUAGUAUACCUUCUUCGGUGGUGGUGGUGAGUAGACGGGGGGUGGGUAGUAUACCUUCUUCGGUGGUGGUGGUGAGUAGACGGGAGGUGGGUAGUACACCUUCUUCGGUGGUGGUGGUGAGUAGACGGGAGGUGGGUAGUACACCUUCUUCGGUGGUGGUGGUGAGUAGACGGGAGGUGGGUAGUAUACCUUCUUUGGCGGUGGUGGUGAGUAGACUGGUGGUGGGUAGUAUACUUUCUUUGGUGGUGGAGGAGACUUAUAGACGGGUGGUGGAUAGUAUACCUUCUUGGGAGGUGGGGGAGACUUGUAGACUGGAGGUGGGUAGUAUACCUUCUUUGGUGGUGGAGGAGACUUAUAGACGGGAGGAGGGUAGUAUACCUUCUUGGGAGGUGGGGGAGACUUGUAGACGGGAGGUGGGUAGUACACCUUCUUGGGAGGUGGGGGAGACUUGUAGACGGGAGGUGGGUAGUACACCUUCUUGGGAGGCGGGGGAGACUUGUAGACGGGAGGUGGGUAAUACACCUUCUUAGGUGGCGGAGGAGACUUGUAGACGGGAGGUGGGUAAUAAACCUUCUUGGGUGGCGGAGGAGACUUGUAGACAGGAGGUGGGUAAUACACCUUCUUUGGUGGUGGUGGAGAGUAAACUGGUGGUGGAUAGUAAACCUUCUUGGGUGGUGGUGGAGAGUGAUACACUGGAGGUGGAUAGUAUGAUUUCUUGGGUGGUGGAGGAGAAUGGUAUACUGGAGGCGG
rnacentral:lncRNA from 1 species